GUAACACGUAGUCAACAUCCCUAGGGGACGUGGAUAACCUCGGGAAACUGAGAAUAAACCGCGAUAGGUCACAAUUUCUGGAAUGGAUUUUGGCUUAAAUCUAUAUGGCCCCUGGAUUGGACUGCGGCCGAUCAGGCUGUUGGUGAGGUAAUGGCCCACCAAACCUGUAACCGGUACGGGCUCUGAGAGGAGGAGCCCGGAGAUGGGCACUGAGACAAGGGCCCAGGCCCUAUGGGGCGCAGCAGGCGCGAAACCCCUGCAAUGGGCGAAAGCCUGACAGGGUUACUCUGAGUGAUUUCCGCUAAGGGGAUCUUUUGACACCUCUAAAAAUGGUGUAGAAUAAGGGGUGGGCAAGUCUGGUGUCAGCCGCCGCGGUAAUACCAGCACCCCGAGUGGUCGGGACGAUUAUUGGGCCUAAAGCAUCCGUAGCCGGUUCUUCAAGUCUUCCGUUAAAUCCAGCCGCUCAACGGAUGGGCUGCGGAAGAUACUAUAGGACU
rnacentral:rRNA from 1 species